rnacentral:rRNA from 1 species
CGAACGCUGGCGGCGUGCUUAACACAUGCAAGUCGAACGGUGAAGCGCCUUCCUUUUUGGUGGGUGUGGAUGAGUGGCGAACGGGUGAGUAACACGUGAGUAACCUGCCCCCUUCUUCUGGAUAACCGCAUGAAAGUGUGGCUAAUACGGGAUAUUCUGGGUCUGUCGCAUGAUGGGUCUGGGAAAGAUAUUGUUUCGGUGGGGGAUGGGCUCGCGGCCUAUCAGCUUGUUGGUGGGGUGAUGGCCUACCAAGGCGGUGACGGGUAGCCGGCCUGAGAGGGUGGACGGUCACACUGGGACUGAGACACGGCCCCGACUCCUACGGGAGGCAGCAGUGGGGAAUAUUGCACAAUGGGCGCAAGCCUGAUGCAGCGACGCCGCGUGAGGGAUGGAGGCCUUCGGGUUGUGAACCUCUUUCGCCAGUGAAGCAGGCCUGCCUCGUUUGUGGGUGGGUUGACGGUAGCUGGAUAAGAAGCGCCGGCUAACUACGUG